CUAAAAUGUAUAUUUAUUCACUGUUCUUUCAUUACAAAAAUGAAUUAAUCAAUUCAUGUUCACAUGAAUGGUCCCAUAAAGCUAAACACGGAAUCUAACUAAUAGGCAAAAUCAAUUAAAAAUGAUACUACUCAAUUGGCGCCAUUAUAGAAGAUGGGGCUCCAUUAGGAUGGACUAUCUUGAAUAAAAUAAAGGAGAAGCAACCACUACCAGAAUUACUUUUGCUUUGAUUAAUCUAUCCUAAAACUUUCUCGUUUAAUUUUUUGUUUUCCAUUCCAUCAGUCUUCUCCUUGUGAAUUUUUUUCAUUACAUAAACUUCAGCAAGGGGAGCUGCACUAGCCAUCGCCAUGUCUUAAUCAAGAAACACAAAAGAAUAAUCGAAUCUGAUGUUGAUUUAGGAAUUUG
rnacentral:lncRNA from 1 species